AUGGAAAUUUCCAAUUGCAGCAUCAAGGGCUGCUGUUCUGCUGACUGUCUUGCUCAGCCGGGGUCAUCUGCUUCUCUAAGACAUCAAGGAAUGCCAAGGUUAUGAACCAUAGUGAUUGAGAGCAUCUGCAGCAGUCCUUGGUGCCUAGUACUGAGCCUUGUAUUAGAAAGGAUGCCACAUCAGUUCAAAGGAUGACAGCCAUCUAUCUGGUUGCAAAAACAGGGUACUCCACCUCCCCCACACCCCAAAGGAUGUACGAGAGGUACACAAGGCAACUCUUGGAGCAAAGAUGGGGCCAGCCGAGGUGGAGCAGUUUCUCUCUCAUGUAGAAACCAACUAAAAGGAGAAGGGAGAGGGAAGAUCUGUUUUUCACAGCAGCACAGACUUCUGCCUUGAUCUUUUAGCAAACUUAGGAAGGUUCCGACAUCUUUAAGCCUGGGAAGAUACAGUGUUUUAAUUUGAUGACCAGCAAACCAAAGGUCAAUCUGAGAAAGUUGAUUCUUGACAUAUUUCCAACAAGGGUCACUUGUUUCAUCCCAACGGACUCCAAGUUAAGAAUUAAAAACCUCAACUGUAGUAAAUUACAUGUUUGAAAAACUGAGAGUUCUAAUUACACACACAUCCCAAAUGCCAGCGGGGCCCACUCUAUUCAUGUUCUCAUAGCUUUAUGAAAAACUGUUUGUUUGGAAUGUGGUUUUUAAAAGUAAUUUACCUUCAGGUUUAGUUGAAGAAUGGAAUAUGUGAGAAAAGAAUUUUCCAACUUCUCUUGACUCAGCGAUGAAAAGGAAAAUAUGUUUAUACGAAUAUGGCUGCUUGUUGAUCUAAGACAUUUGAAAUUUCACAUGCUAAAUGCUAAAUCCACUUAUAAAUUUCAAACAUAAUUU